CUUGUUUUUUAAACUGGGGGUUUACUCCCCUUCCUCGCGGUUGUCUACCCUAAGAAAUAUGGAUACCUUAUUUGUAUUGACCUACAGUUAUAUUCGUUCUUAGUCCCUGAUCCUGCAAAGACAUACAAGUUACUUAACUUUAUACACUGGGUGAACUCCAGACUCCACUGAAAUGAUGGAAGUUCUGCCAGGAUUCCACUCUGAACAGUCUCACUGAAGUCACUGGGACAACUCAGUGUGUAAAGGUCAUCUAAUCCCUUUUUAUUGGCUACAAGACCAAAGGAUUUCCAGUUGAGUGCAUCAACUUCUGGGCGCCGUGGUCUGUUAGGAGGGUAAAGUGCCAUCUGAGCAGGAUCCAACAUGGUUUAACCUUCACCUGUACUCCUGGAUUUAUGAUGAUGGGGUGAUGAGCUUCUGUGGUUCAGUUUGGCCUCUGUGAUCACACAUCAUGGUUCCAUUCAAUCAUUUUGAUGACCUCUCUAAAUUGUUCAGGGGUCAAUUCGGGAAAUAUUUUUACUUGUCCCUGAGAUCUAUUUUCUUGGGUGGUGUCUUUUGGGUGACCGUUGCUCCAGCUUUUGGCUAUAAGAUUGUGAAAUUAUAUAGUCAGCUGCUCUAACAGCUUCUAAUACUUCAUAUAGCCCCUACCAUCUGGCCAAGAGCUUGCUUUCUGCUGUGGGCAUCGGCACCAUUACCCAGUCCCCUGUCUGGAAUUUCCAAACCUUUGAUUGACGAUUGUAAUAGGUCUUGUACUCUUUCCAUGUAUUCCCAUACUAUGGGGG